rnacentral:rRNA from 1 species
CACGUAGGGUGCGAGCGUUGUCCGGAAUUAUUGGGCGUAAAGAGCUCGUAGGCGGUGUGUCGCGUCGGCCGUGAAACCUGCAGCUUAACUGUGGCUUGCGGUCGAUACGGGCAUCACUGGAGUUCGGCAGGGGAGACUGGAAUUCCUGGUGUAGCGGUGAAAUGCGCAGAUAUCAGGAGGAACACCGGUGGCGAAGGCGGGUCUCUGGGCCGAAACUGACGCUGAGGAGCGAAAGCUAGGGUAGCGAACGGG